rnacentral:rRNA from 1 species
AGAUUGAACGCUGGCGGCAGGCCUAACACAUGCAAGUCGAGCGGCAGCGGGAAGUAGCUUGCUACUUUGCCGGCGAGCGGCGGACGGGUGAGUAAUGUCUGGGAAACUGCCUGAUGGAGGGGGAUAACUACUGGAAACGGUAGCUAAUACCGCAUAACGUCUACGGACCAAAGUGGGGGACCUUCGGGCCUCACGCCAUCGGAUGUGCCCAGAUGGGAUUAGCUAGUAGGUGGGGUAAUGGCUCACCUAGGCGACGAUCCCUAGCUGGUCUGAGAGGAUGACCAGCCACACUGGAACUGAGACACGGUCCAGACUCCUACGGGAGGCAGCAGUGGGGAAUAUUGCACAAUGGGCGCAAGCCUGAUGCAGCCAUGCCGCGUGUGUGAAGAAGGCCUUCGGGUUGUAAAGCACUUUCAGCGAGGAGGAAGGCAUAAAGGUUAAUAACCUUUGUGAUUGACGUUACUCGCAGAAGAAGCACCGGCUAACUCCGUGCCAGCAGCCGCGGUAAUACGGAGGGUGCAAGCGUUAAUCG